rnacentral:rRNA from 1 species
AAUUGUGGGUCAAGUUAGUAAGGGUCCACGGUGGAUGCCUUGGGGCCAAGAGCCGAAGAAGGGCGUGGCAAGACUGCGAUAAGCCUCGGUCAGCUGUCUAGCAAGCUUAGCCGGGGAUUCCCGAAUGGGGGAACCCCUUCGAUAUAACAUCGGAGACUUCUAGCUGAACCCUUAGGCUAGAAGGGGUAAGUGGGGGAACUGAAACAUCUAA